rnacentral:rRNA from 1 species
UACGGGGGGAGCAAGCGUUGUUCGGAUUUACUGGCGUAAAGGGCGCGUAGGCGGUCGUGACAAGUCACUUGUGAAAUCUCCGGGCUUAACUCGGAACGGUCAAGUGAUACUGUCGGACUAGAGUACAGAAGGGGCAACUGGAAUUCUCGGUGUAGCGGUGAAAUGCGUAGAUAUCGAGAGGAACACCUGCGGCGAAGGCGGGUUGCUGGGCUGAUACUGACGCUGAGGAGCGAAAGCGUGGGUAGCAAACAGG